AGGAGCAGACUGAUUUUUGUGUACAACCUGGCUUCUUCUAGAAAGGGUUUGCGUUCAGUUUAUGGCUAGUUGUUGGGGUGCUGGAUGAUGCGCAGGCACGGGUCACCAAUGCUUUUUAUGAUCCAUGGAACGUGCCCUUCUAUCCAUAGCUGAAUCUGAAGGAUACAUGAAGUAUGAGGGCUGGUAACUGAUAAUGUAUUUAUUUGGUUAUUCAAAGCUACUCCCUCCGUAACCAAAUUCGGAGGGAGUAUGCAACACUCUUUGUUCAAUUACUACUUAUCUAAGAAUUUCAUUCUACAAUACUUUUUUUAAAUUCACUCAAA